rnacentral:tRNA from 1 species
GCGGUGGUUCAGUGGUAGAAUUCUCACCUUCCAUGAGGGAGACAUGGGUUCGAUCCCCAGCCAAUGCA